rnacentral:rRNA from 1 species
AUACGUAGGGAGCGAGCGUUGUCCGGAAUUACUGGGUGUAAAGGGUGCGUAGGCGGGACUGCAAGUCAGAUGUGAAAUGCCGGGGCUCAACCCCGGAGCUGCAUUUGAAACUGUGGUUCUUGAGUGAGGUAGAGGUAAGCGGAAUUCCUAGUGUAGCGGUGAAAUGCGUAGAUAUUAGGAGGAACAUCGGUGGCGAAGGCGGCUGACUGGGCCUUUACUGACGAUGAGGAACGAAAGUGUGUGGAGGAAACAGGAUUAGAUACCCUGGUAGUCCACGCUGUAAACGAUGAUGACUAGGUGUGGGGGGAGUGAACCCUUCCGUGCCGAAGUUAACACAAUAAGUCAUCCACCUGGGGAGUACGGCCGCAAGGUUGAAACUCAAAGGAAUUGACGGGG